rnacentral:rRNA from 1 species
UACGUAGGGACCGAGCGUUGUCCGGAAUCAUUGGGCGUAAAGAGCGUGUAGGCGGCCAUUUAAGUCCUGCGUGAAAUCUUGCGGCUCAACCGCAAGCGGUCGUGGGAAACUGGGUGGCUAGAGUGCGGGAGAGGAGAGUGGAAUUCCUGGUGUAGCGGUGGAAUGCGCAGAUAGUCAGGAAGAACACCCGUGGCGAAGGCGGCUCUCUGGAACGCAACUGACGCUGAGACGCGAAAGCGUGGGGAGCAAACAGG